UACGAAGGGGGCUAGCGUUGCUCGGAAUCACUGGGCGUAAAGCGCACGUAGGCGGCUUUCUAAGUCAGGGGUGAAAUCCUGGAGCUCAACUCCAGAACUGCCUUUGAUACUGGGGAGCUCGAGUCCGGAAGAGGUGAGUGGAACUCCGAGUGUAGAGGUGAAAUUCGUAGAUAUUCGGAAGAACACCAGUGGCGAAGGCGGCUCACUGGUCCGGUACUGACGCUGAGGUGCGAAAGCGUGGGGAGCAGACAGG
rnacentral:rRNA from 1 species